rnacentral:SRP_RNA from 1 species
GCUGGGUGUGGUGGCGCACACCUGUAGUCCCAGCUACUUGGGAGGCUGAAGCGGGAGGAUUACUUGAGACCAGGAGGUCAAAUCUGCAGUGAGCCAUGAUCAUACCACUGCACUCCAGCCUGGGUAACAGAGCAAGACCCUGCCUCAA